UACGGAGGAUCCAAGCGUUAUCCGGAUUUAUUGGGUUUAAAGGGUGCGUAGGCGACCUGUUAAGUCAGGGGUGAAAGACGGUAGCUUAACUAUCGCAGUGCCCUUGAUACUGAUGGGCUUGAAUAUACUUGAGGUAGGCGGAAUGUGACAAGUAGCGGUGAAAUGCAUAGAUAUGUCACAGAACACCAAUUGCGAAGGCAGCUUACUAAGGUAUGAUUGACGCUGAGGCACGAAAGCGUGGGGAUCAAACAGG
rnacentral:rRNA from 1 species